rnacentral:tRNA from 1 species
GCGGAAGUACCCAAGUGGCUCAAGGGGCUCCCCUGCUAAGGGAGUAGUGCGGGAAACUGCAGCGCGAGUUCAAAUCUCGCCUUCCGCGCCA